rnacentral:ncRNA from 1 species
CGUUAGGCGUUGCCUCUGUCAUCACUUGCGAAUGCAAAUACGGGAUGCAGCUGUGGA